UACGGGGGGGGGCAAGCGUUGUUCGGAAUUACUGGGCGUAAAGGGCUGGUAGGCGGCCAACUAAGUCGGAUGUGAAAUCCCCAGGCUUAACCUGGGAACUGCAUCCGAUACGGCGGGACUGGAGUGUGGGAGAGGUUGGUGGAAUUCCCAGUGUAGAGGUGAAAUGCGUAGAUAUCGGGAGGAACACCAGUGGCGAAGGCGACUUCCUGGCCUGUUCUUGACGCUGAGGCGCGAAAGCUAGGGUAGCAAACGGG
rnacentral:rRNA from 1 species